rnacentral:lncRNA from 1 species
GUUGAAGCUGAUUCCUAAUAGCUUCUGGAAUGUAAAAGAAAUGCUGACCUUUAGUCUAGAUGUCAAUGGAAGCAAAGUCAAGAGCCACAGAGUUUGGACUCAUUUCUUCAUUCACCAAAUGUCUGUUGGGUAGCUGCUGUAGAUUCAGUAUGUGCGGCUGCUGCUACCGCUGCUAAGUCGCUUCAGUCGUGUCUGACCCUGUGUGACCCCAUGGACGGCAGCCCACCAGACUUAAGGUACAAAUCUGAAUC